rnacentral:rRNA from 1 species
CAAGCCCUGGAAACGGGGUCUAAUACCGGAUACUGACCCUCGCAGGCAUCUGCGAGGUUCGAAAGCUCCGGCGGUGCAGGAUGAGCCCGCGGCCUAUCAGCUUGUUGGUGAGGUAAUGGCUCACCAAGGCGACGACGGGUAGCCGGCCUGAGAGGGCGACCGGCCACACUGGGACUGAGACACGGCCCAGACUCCUACGGGAGGCAGCAGUGGGGAAUAUUGCACAAUGGGCGAAAGCCUGAUGCAGCGACGCCGCGUGAGGGAUGACGGCCUUCGGGUUGUAAACCUCUUUCAGCAGGGAAGAAGCGAAAGUGACGGUACCUGCAGAAGAAGCGCCGGCUAACUACGUGCCAGCAGCCGCGGUAAUACGUAGGGCGCAAGCGUUGUCCGGAAUUAUUGGGCGUAAAGAGCUCGUAGGCGGCUUGUCACGUCGGUUGUGAAAGCCCGGGGCUUAACCCCGGGUCUGCAGUCGAUACGGGCAGGCUAGAGUUCGGUAGGGGAGAUCGGAAUUCCUGGUGUAGCGGUGAAAUGCGCAGAUAUCAGGAGGAACACCGGUGGCGAAGGCGGAUCUCUGGGCCGAUACUGACGCUGAGGAGCGAAAGCGUGGGGAGCGAACAGGAUUAGAUACCCUGGUAGUCCACGCCGUAAACGGUGGGCACUAGGUGUGGGCAACAUUCCACGUUGUCCGUGCCGCAGCUAA